AUUUAAUAUCACCACGAAUUAGGCAUACAAUUGUCAGUGGAAAAAAAACAUGACAGAUAGAUCACGCCACCUUAUAGGAAUGUCGUCCGUCAGUGUUUACCGUCUCAGUUUGUAUACAAAGCAUUUCAUCAAGCGUGGAGGUCACCUUGACAUACGUGACCAAUUGUAACUUCAUUAUUUUCCAAUCUGUAACUCGUCACUCCUUCACGAGAGUCCGACUGACACACAACGGCAGUCGCUCUCGCUCCGACGCUCCUGUACUUAUAGGCUAAGAAUAUAUUCGCCUUAAGGAA